rnacentral:tRNA from 3 species
GCCCGGGUGGCGAAAUUGGUAGACGCAGUGGAUUCAAAAUCCACCGGUGGCAACACCGUGCCGGUUCGAGUCCGGCCCCGGGCACCA